CGCUAACUGCCAACUGGCGGAAAGAACUGUGGAUUAUUGUGGAUUACUGUGGAUAGGAUUUACUGGACAUUAUGUCGCAAAAUUUCCUGCAGAAGAUUGCGCAGAUUGUUUUAAAAGUGGCUGGGAAUCUCAGUCUUCUAAGAGAUGGUGGAUUAACAAGUGGUGAUGUUUAUGUCUAAACCUGUAAUGAAAGAGGUCUCAUUGGAAAGUAAUAUUUGUGGAACAUGGAUUGAGGUAGUGAGCAAGAAAUUCAGUGGAAAAUUUGCUAUACGAAUG